CAGUAAUAAGAUCUCUUUAAAUGUUCGGGAUAAACCCAGAGCAGAAGUGACAGCAGGAACAACAACCAUAUCAGUAGGAGGCAGCGUGACACUGAGCUGCUCUGUGGACAACUCUGCUGGAUGGAAAUACCAGUGGUUCAGACGAACCUCACACACUUCUGAUUAUCACCUUAAAACAAAUGAUGAACAAAACAGAAUCAUCAGUGUGUCACAGGGAGGAAUCUACAGGUGUAGAGGAGAGAGAGGAGAUCCAGCCUAUUACUCUGAUAUGAGUAAUGAUGCCAGUAUUAAUAUAAUCUUUUCCAACCAGGUUGUUGUAACACGACAACCUGACUGGCCUCAGAUUUUCAGUGGAGAGAAAAUCACUCUGACAUGUGAGAUCCAGGGAGGAGAAACCACUGAGUGGAUGUGUGUAUGGAGA